rnacentral:rRNA from 1 species
GUAUGCACUGGCUUCGCUGAUUCCUCCUUUCUGAAGAACUGUAAUGCCAUUAAUUUGGUGUUGCAGGGAAACAGGACUGUUACUUUGAAAAAAUUAGAGUGUUUAAAGCAGGCUAACGCUUGAAUACAUUAGCAUGGAGUAAUGAAAUAGGACGUUUGAUCCUAUUUUGUUGGUUUCUAGGAUUGACGUAAUGAUUAAUAGGGAUAGUUGGGGGCAUUAGUAUUCAAUUGUCAGAGGUGAAAUUCUUGGAUUUAUUGAAGACUAACUACUGCGAAAGCAUUUGCCAAGGAUGUUUUCAUUAAUCAAGAACGAAAGUUAGGGGAUCGAAGACGAUCAGAUACCGUCGUAGUCUUAACCAUAAACUAUGCCGACUAGGGAUCGGAUGAUGUUAAUUUUUUAAUGACUCAUUCGGCGCCUUACG